ensembl:rRNA 5S_rRNA 5S ribosomal RNA
CGCCACAGCCAUAUCACCCUGUAGCCCAAGACUGGUUGCCCACUGAAGCUAAGCAGGGUUGAGCCUGGUCAGUACCUGGAUGGGAGACCUCCUGGGAAAACUAGGUUGCUGUUGGAA